rnacentral:rRNA from 1 species
UGAGGAAUAUUGCGCAAUGGGCGCAAGCCUGACGCAGCGACACCGCGUGAAGGAUGAAGGCUUUCGGGUCGUAAACUUCUGUUAAGUGGGAAGAAAAAGCUGGUCUUAAUACGGCCAGAAAAUGACGGUACCACUAGAGAAAGCACCGGCUAACUUCGUGCCAGCAGCCGCGGUAAGACGAGGGGUGCAAACGUUAUUCGGAAUGAUUGGGUGUAAAGGGUGCGUAGGCGGUAUGUUAAGUCAAUCGUUAAAUUUUUCAGCUUAACUGAAAGUCAGCGGUAGAAACUGGCGUACUUGAGGAUGGAAGAGAGAAGUAGAAUUCUCGGAGUAGCGGUAAAAUGCGUAGAUCUCGAGAGGAAUACCAAUGGCGAAGGCAGCUUCUUGGUCCAUAUCUGACGCUGAGGCACGAAAGCGUGGGGAGCAAACAGGAUUAGAUACCCCGGUAGUCC